GCGCUGUUAGCCAAGUGGAUUAAGGCACUGGUCUACGAAACCAGAGAUCGAAUGUUCGAAUCAUUCACAGCGCACCA
rnacentral:tRNA from 1 species